rnacentral:rRNA from 1 species
GAUGAACGCUGGCGGCGUGCCUAAUACAUGCAAGUCGAGCGAACGGACGAGAAGCUUGCUUCUCUGAUGUUAGCGGCGGACGGGUGAGUAACACGUGGAUAACCUACCUAUAAGACUGGGAUAACUUCGGGAAACCGGAGCUAAUACCGGAUAAUAUUUUGAACCGCAUGGUUCAAAAGUGAAAGACGGUCUUGCUGUCACUUAUAGAUGGAUCCGCGCUGCAUUAGCUAGUUGGUAAGGUAACGGCUUACCAAGGCAACGAUGCAUAGCCGACCUGAGAGGGUGAUCGGCCACACUGGAACUGAGACACGGUCCAUACUCCUACGGGAGGCAGCAGUAUGGAAUCUUCCGCAAUGGGCGAAAGCCUGACGGAGCAACGCCGCGUGAGUUAUGAAGGUCUUCGGAUCCUAAAACUCUGUUAUUAGGGAAGAACAUAUGUGUAAGUAACUGUGCACAUCUUGACGGUACCUAAUCAGAAAGCCACGGCUAACUACGUG